AUCAUUCUCUGAACAGUACAAUUACACGUCAACUUAGUCCAUGCAAACAGAAGAUGGACAAUGAAAUAGACACAGCAAAGAGCCAACACAGGUAUGCAAACUGUAAAUGGAAAUCACGCAGUCAUAUAGGUAUAUAAUAAUAACAAUCCUAUGGCUCUUCUUGCCACUGUUUGCCAGCCACUACUCCCUGACCCCUUCAUGAACCUUGUUCUUUAGUUACAUUGAGCAAGCUUGCUCCACUCUGCAAAUAUUACACUGGCUGUCGUCACUCAGCUAUCGCUCAGGUUUUCAGCUUUAUGUUUUUAAAAUAGUUACUCAACGCUCGGGACGGAAUGCCACAUAACAAAAUAUAUCUUGACUUUAAACGUUCAUGUCAUGAAAGGAGCUAGCACAAGAAGAAGAAAACCGAACGAAUGCUAGCAGCCAUAGCCUUCACCGCAGAGCGGAAGGAAGGGAAGCAGAAAAGCCCCAGAGCAGAAUGCAACGAGGAAAAGACAAGAGUGAUGAAAGAGAGACACGACGGAGGCACACACACACAUUCAACGAUACCUCGAGUCUGUCUGCGGUGUACCACCAGCCUGCAACACACACAAGCACACACACAAGCCUGUUACGGGCAGCUGAUAAAGUGGGAGACGCCAUUCCAGCUGUGAGGAGACGGAAGAAGUCAACACACACACUCACACAAACACACACACACAGAAACACAGAGCCGGAGGCGCGCGAGCAGGUGAGCAUUAAGUCAGGCAGCUAAACAGAUCACGUUGCGGUAUGAUAUCUGCAGACAGGCAGACAGAGGAGGCUGGUCUGUACCUGCAGGCAGAGAGCAACAACUCACAGCACCCGCGCCAGGAAUGUCCUCCCCCUCCUGAGAGACAGAGCGAGCGAGUGACUGAAGGUGGGAGAAAGACAGAAACUGGGGUUUCCACUGUGAGGUGUGUGUGUGUGUGCGUGUGUGUGUUUAUGCAAACCACAUUUUAAAGCCUGAACACAAACUGUCUGCUGAAAUUUCUUUUUCUGAUCUGAAUAGCUUCAGUGUCACAAAAUAUUUUAACUCUUGACAUCAAGCAGAUGUUUUUGGCAUUGAUUAAAAUACUAAAUGUUUGACAUUUGUGUCACUUAAAAUUUGAAUUGUGACUACCCAGCUUUUCCCAUAUAAAGUGCAUUAAAAACUUUUUUGCUUUUAAAGAACUUUAAAUCUGAAAAACAAAAGAGGAUGUGGAUAUUAUAUGUAGUGAGUUUUAUAACCACAUUUAAGGUUUUUUUUUUUUUUUUUAAUCUUUUUUCUUUUUCAGUUAUUAUUUUAUGAAACAAACCUUGUUUCACAGAUGAGAAAAAAUGCUCUUACGCCACAUUUUUUAAGCCCAACAUUCCUCCUUUACCUCAGGCGAUGAAAGGACAUUUGACAUUAAAAAAAAAAGAUCAGCACUUUCACACGCUACUGUGAUAUCAAGUGCAGAUGGUUCUUUUAUUUUGGAGUAACUCGAUCACCUCCUGUAUGAUGUCUUUCUGGAAUUACGAUGGUGUUAUGACAGGGUCCUCAGCACUAAUUGUGAAACUUUGACAGUAUCUGUUACGCAAACUUGUUCUGCUAGUUUUCUGUUGUUAGCGCUCCUCAGAGCAGCUUUGACAUUUUUAGAUUUUAUAGCUUUCUGUCAUUCACAUGCUGCUCAGCAUGUGUGGCCUUUAUCUGUGGUAUCCUGUAUCACAUUCAUACUAAUUCCCAUUUGGGAGAUGACCGCUACACUUGUGGUCUCCUAGUGUUGGCCACCGAGUAGCUUCUCUGAACCAACUGUGGGUUAUGUUGUUGCUUAAGAGUUGCAGGAGUUAUGAAAUAAGGGCUUUCAGUUCACUUCUGCAUGGAUCCAGCAAUUCAGUGCCUCUUAAAGUCACCAACUUCUUCUCCUCUCUGUAAUCUACUCUUGUCCUUGAAUUGAAGUUGUUUCACUCAUUAGGAAGAUCAACCAUGUUCUGUGAUCAACAUUAUUCCCUGGCUGAGGUUUUGUUCUUGUCUUUUUCAAAGCUUUUUAUAUUUAGCUUGAAAAACGCCUCCUGAAAUUUUUACAAGUCACAUCUCUCCCCACCACAUCCACUUAUCUAAAAAUGAUUCAGUGGUUAAAUGUCAGAGCUGUCCGUGCCAUUAAGGCCAGCAUGUUUGAAGGAAGGACACCCUUGUCUGCCCUCUCCCUCCUCCCUUCUUAUUCCUCUUGCUCUCCCCUUUCUUCCUCCUCUCUCCCCCCAAGCUCUCUCACCCCCUCCACCCACCCCAGUCUGGUUUGAGGGCUGAUGUGCAGACCUUGUCAUUCAGAUUAGGGCCACAUUGUCAGCUCAGGGCCCUGCUCUCUCUAGUUGCGUGUCCUGGAUCUUUCUUCCUACUGUCACCCUCGUCCUGCGGCCAGAGAAGACCUUAUAAAGCAGCAUUCCUUCUCAUCCACUUCUGUCAAUUCCAACACUGUCACUCAAAUCACGGUUCGGGAGAGUAUAGAGAGGCUGAGUUAGCGGUGUCCCUCGCAGCAAGGACUGUGCUUUUUGGUCUGAGCUUGCGAGACGUAUCAGCAGCAAACAAACUGUUUUUCUUUUCUUUUCUUUUUUUUUACUUGGUUGAAGUAUUUUUAGUUAUGAUGUAGUUUUUGCUCACAACAGACAAGCUUUUCAGAAGAAUACAUUAACUGAGAUGCACAGGAAAUGACAGCAGAAACAGCUCUUGUGAUCUAAAGGAGAGAAGAGAGGCGGCACAUUCUCUGCUGUCAGGCUUGUGGUAGAAAACUUUUAAAAAAUCUUCAAUUAUUACUACUUAGUGUGUUGCUCCUUUAUAGUAAAGACUGGACACAGUGUUAUUUUAACUCUGUUUUCUGUGUGAAAAAAGUAUUAGGCGGUAGAUGAGAUAUCCACCACAUCGUCUUAGUCAGUCCUUAUCCUGUCCAGUAAAAGUGUCCCAACACCAUAUUUAUCAUCUGACCACAUCUUGACUCACUGCCACAGCUUUGUCACAUCGUAUCUAAUGCUACAGCAGCUCUGUGGCAUUUUAUUUUUGUGCUUCUCACAAACUCUGCACUUUUUUUUUUUUUUUUCCAUGAUGAGCAGCUCUGAUUAAACACUGCGUAAUAAAAUCUUUCAUGCAAGCUGCUGGACAGUUUCUUUACUGGUAUUAGCGCGAGAAGAAAACCAUAGAAAAACACCCAGUCUUCAGCCACAGUGACACAUCAUAGUGAAAACAACAGAUGCUAUUGAUCUGGGUGAGUCGACGGUUUCAUACCCAGUGUCUUCCUCAGCUUCCACCUUGCAUGAAGCCCUCAAGGCAUGCUAGUGUCUCUCUAGAGGCUGCACCACGAUGCUUCAAUACAGCCUAUGAUGACUGGCUGCAGCCUCCGCCCAGGUGCUUGUGUUUACUAAAACCCACUAUGAGUCAUGAGUUUCAAGAUGACUUCCCUCUUCUAACUGUUACUUAUAGUGAAAUAAAAUUUGUUCCCAUACAUUAAGAAUGUCUUUAGUGUCAUAAUGACCGUGUGUCAUUUGGCGACAAUCAAAUGUUGCCUUUGCCAGGAUUUAAGAAGAAGUAGGGCACAGCCAGCUCUGCUACUUUUUAGCUGCGGUAGUGGAGAGCACAGGAGGCGGCAGUUUAAUAAUUAAUUGCAUUUGAUGUAUAUCUUAUCAUGUUUGUUCCUUGAUAUAAAUGCUUUUCUGUCUCUUAUCCUCAGGUACAGUGUGUAAAUGGCCGACACUUGGUGCAAAGAAUGUAGGGAAAAAGCAGUGUGAUGUAUGCAUGUAUAUGUAGCAGCAGGUUUUGUUCAUGUUUAAAGCUGAAUGAAAGACCUCCAGUACAAAUAGAUAUGGUAUUAUUGUUCCCUUCUUUAAGUCUAUAGAUAUAGAUGUAGAUGUGCCAAAAUGGAGAGCAUGGUAAAACACUCAUGAUUCUUUUAGUGUGCUCCGUGCUCAGAGAAUGAAAAAAGGGGGAUUUAGCAUGAAGGGAGAGAGUUAGAAGCCUCUCCGCCCACACUUAAGACUCACUGCCUCUGCAUCUUUAAGCAGACUGUCAUCUCUGGUCACCAUCAGGUCUGUG